rnacentral:lncRNA from 1 species
AAGGAGCUUUUUGCUGGAAAGCCUGUGCUGCAGCAUUCCCUAGCCUGGGUUCUGCUGCUGAGCCUCAUCAUCUGUGUGAGCACACAGUUUAAUUACCUAAAUAGGGCCCUGGAUAUAUUCAACACUUUCAUCAUGACUCCAAUGUAUUAUGCAAUCUUUACAACAUCAGUUUUAACUUGUACAGCUAUCCUUUUUAAGGAGUGGCAAGUUAUGCCUGUUGAUGACAUCAUUGGUACUUUGAGUGGCUUCUUUACAAUAAUUGUGGGGAUAUUCUUGUUGCAUGCCUUUAAAGAUGUCGGCUUUAGUCUAGCAAGUCUCCCUGUGUCUUUUUGAAAAGACGAGAAAGCAAUGAAGGCAAUCUCUCUAAUAUGCAUGAAGUAAUAAAAAAAAAAGAAGCCUAACCUGUGGAAUCAAACAAAACACUGGUGAAAAUAUCUCCCAAGGAAAUGGAAAUCUGACAGCUU